GAUGAACGCUGGCGGCGUGCCUAAUACAUGCGAGUCGAGCGAACAGACGAGGAGCUUGCUCCUCUGACGUUGGCGGCGGACGGGUGAGUAACACGUGGAUAACCUACCUAUAAGUCUGGGAUAACUUCGGGAAACCGGAGCUAAUACCGGAUAAUAUAUUGAACCGCAUGGUUCAAUAGUGAAAGACGGUUUUGCUGUCACUUAUAGAUGGAUCCGCGCCGCAUUAGCUAGUUGGUAAGGUAACGGCUUACCAAGGCAACGAUGCGUAGCCGACCUGAGAGGGUGAUCGGCCACACUGGAACUGAGACACGGUCCAGACUCCUACGGGAGGCAGCAGUAGGGAAUCUUCCGCAAUGGGCGAAAGCCUGACGGAGCAACGCCGCGUGAGUGAUGAAGGUCUUCGGAUCGUAAAACUCUGUUAUUAGGGAAGAACAAAUGUGUAAGUAACUAUGCACGUCUUGACGGUACCUAAUCAGAAAGCCACGGCUAACUACGUG
rnacentral:rRNA from 1 species